ensembl:lncRNA
CACGGGCAGUGGUGCACAAUAGUUUACAUUUAAAAUGAGUCAGUUAGUUAUCGUCCCGUUGGCUGCUGACCAGAAUGAUGAGCAGCAGCGUCAUCCCUGUGAUCCUGGACAUGGUGGCGAAGGUUCGUCUGUUCCGUCUGACGUGUUCAGAUUCUUCUGCAGAAGACGAGGAUCUGAGUUUUAUACCCCCGCAGCGCAUUUAAACACAUCUCGCUGCUUGUUGUAGUUUGUGGGCAUGAGCGGUUUGGGACACUUAAACCUGCCUGUGGAAAUCUCUGCAAGAGAAGACAGCUGGUCACUGUAACUGUCUCCACAUAAAAAAGGAAUGUUUUUAAUAGCAGAGAACUUAGGAGAAAAUUCCCUAAAUGUUCAAUUGGAAACACCAUCACAUACGCCCAUAGCAACACAAAGAACUAAGAUAUUUGUUUUGUGUCUUUAAAUUUGUUUUUGUUUGUUUUGCAUUUUUUUACGCAAAGAAGAUGAAAGUGGUCACUGGUCACUCACCUGUGCAUCUGCACUU